rnacentral:rRNA from 1 species
AUGAACGCUAGCGGCAGGCUUAACACAUGCAAGUCGAGGGGCAACGAGAGUAGCAAUACUUGUCGGCGACCGGCGCAAGGGUGCGUAACACGUGAGCAACAUACCCAAAUCAGGAGGAUAACCGGAGGAAACUCUGCCUAAUACUCCAUAAUAUCAUCUUAUGGCAUCAUGAAAUGAUAAAAGAUUUAUCGGAUUCGGAUUGGCUCGCGGGACAUUAGCUAGUUGGCGAGGUAACGGCUCACCAAGGCUACGAUGUCUAGGGGUUCUGAGAGGAAGGUCCCCCACACUGGAACUGAGACACGGUCCAGACUCCUACGGGAGGCAGCAGUGAGGAAUAUUGGACAAUGGUCGGAAGACUGAUCCAGCCAUGCCGCGUGAAGGUUACUGUCCUAUGGAUAUUAAACUUCUUUUUUACGGGAGCAAUAAGGUGCACGCGUGCAUCGAUGAGAGUACCGUACGAAUAAGCAUCGGCUAACUCCGUG